rnacentral:rRNA from 1 species
UACGUAGGUGGCAAGCGUUUGUCCGGAAUUAUUGGGCGUAAAGCGCGCGCAGGCGGUCCUUUAAGUCUGAUGUGAAAGCCCACGGCUCAACCGUGGAGGGUCAUUGGAAACUGGAGGGCUUGAGUACAGAAGAGGAAAGCGGAAUUCCACGUGUAGCGGUGAAAUGCGUAGAGAUGUGGAGGAACACCAGUGGCGAAGGCGGCUUUCUGGUCUGUAACUGACGCUGAGGCGCGAAAGCGUGGGGAGCAAACAGG